GGCAAACCGAAUAUCAAGAAGUCAAGCAUGCAUAACACUCAUCAAAGAACAAGCAAGGAGCAUUCAAGUUAUUGCUCUAAAGGCUCAAUCCUCACUAUAUGAGUGGCUUUCAACAAAAAUGAUCAAUUUGCACAUUCGUCAUCCUCAAACACAUAUGGGUUUCAACACAUUUUCAUAUCAUCCAAGAAAACAACCAAACAAUCCAUAUCAAUAUGCUCAUCCUAACAAAUCAAAAUGCUCGCAUGAAAAGUUGCCAUAGACAGACUCACAAACACCAAACAAAAACCAAAACAAAACGAGCACACAGACUCAAGACAAAAGACAUAAAAACUCCCCCACACUUAAACAACACAAUGUCCUCAUUGUGUGGGGAAAUACUAAGAACAAAGACACAAAACAAAGAAAGCAUAAAAGACAAGAAAAAGAAAAAAUAAAAUAAAAUAAAAACGAAAGCAAACUAACAAAAACUUCCCUGAAACUGGAUCAAUCAUCAGGUGGUUUCAAUUUCCGCUUUGGCAGUUUCACAAUUGAAGGCACAAUCUGUCCAGUGCUGGUCGGUAUGGGCAUACCGCGCGACAGAUGCCGAGUGUGAAUUUCAUUGGUGGAGUUCGACUGCACUUUACACCCUUGAAUUUCAUCAUAACAUUCUGGUGGUUCUUUAUUCAUCGUGAAUAUUUCCAGAAUCUCCUUGCCACAUUCUUUUUCCUUGUUUUGGGCCAACCUGAAAGGAAAAGUGAGAGAAAUUAACGCCUUAGAAUUAUAAAUUUUAGAUUCAACACUUACCUCGGAAGAAGAAAGAUUUUCAUAUUGUU
rnacentral:lncRNA from 1 species